GUCGAGAAUCUUUCACAAUGGGGGCAACCCUGAUGGAGCGACGCCGCGUGGAGGAUAAGGUCUUCGGAUUGUAAACUCCUGUCAUGCGUGAACAAGGUUGCUUGGUUAAUACCUGGGCAAAUUGAUGGUAACGCAAGAGGAAGAGACGGCUAACUCUGUGCCAGCAGCCGCGGUAAUACAGAGGUCUCAAGCGUUGUUCGGAAUCACUGGGCGUAAAGGGUGCGUAGGUGGCGUGGUAAGUCAGAUGUGAAAGCCCGGGGCUCAACCUCGGAACUGCAUCCGAUACUGCCAUGCUAGAGUACUGGAGAGGUGACUAGAAUUCUCGGUGUAGCAGUGAAAUGCGUAGAUAUCGAGAGUAAUACCAAAGGCGUAGGCAGGUCACUGGACAGUUACUGACACUGAGGCACGAAGGCCAGGGGAGCGAACGGGAUUAGAAACCCGUGUAGUCC
rnacentral:rRNA from 1 species